AUAGAGGGCAAUCUGUUUUUAAGUCAGAAGAAAUUUCUCUGAAGGAAAUGAAUCCUAAGUAGCUUUUCUUUCAAGACAAGUGUCUUGU
rnacentral:pre_miRNA from 1 species